AAUCAACGCUGGCGGCGUGCCUAACACAUGCAAGUCGCACGAGAAAGGGGAGCAAUCCCUGAGUAAAGUGGCGCACGGGUGAGUAACACGUGAAUGAUCUACCUCCGAGUGGGAAUAACCUAGAGAAAUCUGGGCUAAUACCGCAUAACACUUACGAGUACAAAGCAGCAAUGCGCUUGGAGAGGAGUUCGCGGCCGAUUAGCUAGUUGGCGGGGUAAUGGCCCACCAAGGCGAUGAUCGGUAUCCGGCCUGAGAGGGCGCACGGACACACUGGAACUGAAACACGGUCCAGACUCCUACGGGAGGGCAGCAGUGGGGUAAUUUUGCGCAAGUGGGGAAACCCUGACGCAGCAACGCCGCGUGGAGGAUGAACGCCCC
rnacentral:rRNA from 1 species